UACGGAGGGUGCAAACGUUGCUCGGAAUCAUUGGGCGUAAAGCGCACGUAGGCGGCCUGAUAAGUCGGGUGUGAAAGCCCUGGGCUCAACCCAGGAAGUGCACUCGAAACUGUCAGGCUUGAAUAUGGAAGAGGGUCGCGGAAUUCCCGGUGGUAGAGGUGAAAUUCGUAGAUAUCGGGAGGAACACCAGUGGCGAAGGCGGCGACCUGGGCCAUCUUGACGCUGAGGUGCGAAAGCGUGGGGGAGCAAACAGG
rnacentral:rRNA from 1 species